UCUAGAUUAUGGUUUUAAAGGCACAUUUACAAUCACAUUAAUUCUAAAUCGUCUUAAAAAAUAUUUGCACAGGUAACAAGAAUAAAAUGUAACAUUAUGUUUAAAAUGAUAUAAACCACUAAAUGGUAGGAGAAUUAACACUGUGAGGCACGCCUCUGCCAAUUUAACUUUGUCCAGAGAGUUUUAAUAAUGCUGUAUGCAUGAGUCCAAUUGUUACUCCAGAUACUGCUGGACUAACUCUCUCAUUUAAUAUCUUAAGAAACUGCUGUUUGAAUACUCCAGAUACAAGCUGGAAAAGUGAAAAACAAAAGUUGAAAAAGGAGGAAGAGGAGAAAAUAUUAGCAAAAAAUGGUGGAGAAGAUAUUCCCAGACUCCUUAAAGUUUUAUCUUCAAUUAAUAAAUUCUUCAACCUACAAUGUAAACAUGUCAAAACUCAUCCAUCAGACACAAAUGGUACCCAAUGCAUCCACAUCUCCUUAACAUAAAUCUACCAUCCAUCUCAAUGAUACUACAAUGGAAAAUGAGAAUACAAAUUAUACAAGUAUACUAAACCAUUGAUUGGUACAAGAUGGGUCAGAAAGAAAUAUUGAAUUUGUUAUUAACAAUAGAUUACUUAUGCAAGUCAAGGUAACAAUAAAACACAAUGAUGCAUUUCUAGCACAUGUCAUAUUGCAUUCUGUAAAAAUGCAAACUGAAUGGCCUUGGAAAGAAAAUUGAAAAGAUUAUAAACUGAAAAACCACAUCUGCACUCAUUUUAGUGAUGCAAAUUGAAUGAAAGUGGUUGUAUAUGCACAAAACUUUUUCACCCUUUUAAAAACGCUGGACAACACGUAUUGGAACUUCUAAACAGAGACAGCAGCAGGCAGCAUCAGAAGAGAAGCAAACCUGAAUAAUGCCUUUGAUGCGCCAAACACCAUGCUUCAUAACUACAAUAUGUGAAUCAUCUGGAUGCAAGGAUUUGAGCUCCUGUCUAACCUCUUCCAAACAU
rnacentral:misc_RNA from 1 species